ACAUAGAGUACAUAGAAGAGUGAGCUCUGAAAGAACUCUCACAUGGACCCCAGAAAGAGGAGUACUCAACGCCUGCUGCACAGAAGGCAUCAGCAGUUAAGUACUGGCUAGAAAAGCGGAGUCCAUCAAAGGAGAGGACCACAGUGGUAGCUGCCUGUUACAAGCUAUUGAGGCACUCCAGAGUGACGGCAUGUGAUCCCCCUGACACAAGAAACAGGCCCAGAUAACACACCGUUCAGACCGACAGCAGUUCUGGUUAUGCUGCAGUACAUCAGACGAGUGCUCUUAUCCAUCCACAGUUCUUAUCACAGUUACUUAUGCAUAUAUUCAUUUUUUAUAUAAAAGAAUCUUGAAUCGGUCACUUAAAUAUUGAAUCUCAAUAAUAAAAAAUACUAAAAGUAUA
rnacentral:lncRNA from 1 species